GAUGAACGCUGGCGGCGUGCCUAAUACAUGCAAGUCGAGCGAACAGACGAGGAGCUUGCUCCUCUGACGUUAGCGGCGGACGGGUGAGUAACACGUGGAUAACCUACCUAUAAGACUGGGAUAACUUCGGGAAACCGGAGCUAAUACCGGAUAAUAUAUUGAACCGCAUGGUUCAAUAGUGAAAGACGGUUUUGCUGUCACUUAUAGAUGGAUCCGCGCCGCAUUAGCUAGUUGGUAAGGUAACGGCUUACCAAGGCAACGAUGCGUAGCCGACCUGAGAGGGUGAUCGGCAACACUGGAGAUAGGACACGGACCAACCUCCGACGGGAGGCAGCAGUCGGAAACCUACGGCAAUGGGCGAAAGCCUAACGGAGAAACGCCGCGUGAGUGAUGAAGGUCUUCGGAUCGUAAAACUCUGUUAUUAGGGAAGAACAAAUGUGUAAGUAACUAUGAACGUAUGAACGGAACAGAAUAAGAAGGCCACGCCUAACUACGG
rnacentral:rRNA from 1 species